UUGAAGCAAGAGCCUGAACUGAGCAUACAGCAUUGCCUGCCAGUGUCGGCCCUGUCUUGACUGAACAGAUAGCUGUACUGAAUAGGUUUGGAGUCCCCCUAUCAGUGGCACAGAUGAUUCUCUUUUUGCAUAUGCUUAGAAUGCCUUCUGCCUUCUAACGUCUACAGAGCUCAGUAGGCAACUCAUCACCAUGGUGCUGAAAGCUGGUGCUGACUAGAAGAUGGCAGUCUCCAGUGCAAAGCUUGAAAAGCUAACUUCACAGUAACUGGAAAAAGAUACCUUGGCAAGUUUAAUGAAAAGCAGAGGCUAUAUAAGAUGCAUCCCCGAGAGGAAUUCUUUCAAGAUAAGGUUUUGACAGUUGCAGAAGAAUAUCAGAAGUGAUAAGAGGUUUGAGUAAAUUUGCUCUCAAAAUGGCAAAUUAGUCAUGGGGUGGAGGUUUGUUCUGAUCUGCUCAGAAAGAAAUAAAAUUGAUUUCAUGUUGA